UGGAUGUGUGUGAACUGAUCACUCAGAAACGAGGAGACAGCAUAGUCUGGACCGCAUGGCUUCUGAUCAACCCAGAUGUAUGUGCAUCACUCUCUGUGCCUCGGAUUCUGUAAUGGAGAGAAUGACUUACUGAUGGUGUAGGGACGCUGAGGAUGCGUGGAGGAGCUGUGGACCAUGGGUGAAUUACUAGCUUGCAAAGCCUCACUGGAAGACAUAUUCUCUUCUGGCCCGAAGCUCAGGCAGGAUCAUCUUUGACCAGAACUACUGAGGACAGGACCCAGAAUCUGCCAUCAGCCACCACCUCAUCCCCAUUUUGUCUGGAGCUCAGUGUGUGUGUGUGUGUGUGUGUGUGUGCCUACCAAAUACACAUGUGUUGUUCUGACCUCCAGUCAAGGCUGGCAGGGAUGCCCUAUAGAAAUCUGGCUCUACACAGCAUGGAUCAACAUGAGACCCUAACUAGCGGCUCCCAGUAGCCAUCGGGGAAGCCAUAUAACUUUCCAGGGUGCUGUUCGAAGACUUGACAUUAACCAACUAAUGUGAUCUCAUAGCAGUCUCAUGGGUCUGGAAUCCACUCUGCAAAAGAGAAGUCCCAGAAUGCCAAGUUACACAUCCAAGAAGUGGAGUCUGGCUCAGGAACACGUCUACCUAUGCCCUAUUCUCUAUAGCUUUGCUCUUCUCUCCAUCCAAAAUGCUCUCACACCUUGGCCCUCUGAGGGCCCUUCUCUAGCUCUGGUCUUUGUUAUUGAAGUACAGGGGUCAUCGGAAUGGGGUGAUGGCACCAGGCCAUCAAGGGAACAUCUCUGACUAAAAGGAAGGGUCCACCCAGGGUGGGCUUCUCCAAUCACAGCAGCAGUGGGUGUCAUCUCAGCCUGGUAUCUUAAGAAGCUUUGGGGAGAAUAAUGGAAGGGAGGGCUCAAGGCGGAAGUCUUUGGGGGGGGGGCGGGGAGUUUCAAGACAGGGUUUCUCUGUAUAGCCCUGGCUAUCCUGAAACUCACUUUGUAGACCAGACUGGCUUCGAACUCAGAAAUCAGCCUGCCUCUGUCUCCUGAGUGCUGGGAUUAAAGGCGUGCGCCACCACGCAAGGUGGAAGUCUUGAUCCACUUGAAACAGGGAGAGAAUGGAGGAGCAGAGGUAGCGGGGGAGGGAGGUAUCUGCCCCACACUAUCAGUUUUCAACCUGUGGAUCUAGUCCCCCUUCGAGAGGGAGAGGUCCUUCCAUAGGGGUCACCUAAGACCAUCGGAAAACACAUUACAAUUCAGAGCAGUAGCGAAAUUUCAGUUUUGAAGUAGUAAUGAAAAGAAUUUUAUAGUUGGGGAGUCACCACAACAUGAAGGACUGUGUUGAAGGGUCGCAGCGUUAGGAAGGUUGAGAACCGACAGAGUGUAAAUGCCACCUGGGGCUGCAGUCGGAUCCUACUGAUGACGGUUAUGAGGAGAUGGUGGUCUUCAGGGUCACCACGGGCCCUGCUUUAAAAAGGUCUGCCCUGGACAUCAGUUUCUCAGUGUGACUCCAGAUGCUAAUAAAAAUGGGGGUGUGUGUCAUUCAUGUCAAGUAC
rnacentral:lncRNA from 1 species